rnacentral:lncRNA from 1 species
GCAUCAUUUUAUAUAUUUUAGUUUUCUUAAUUUAUUCUUUUUAUAAUAUGCAGGUCAUUCAAGAGAGCGAGUCCAUACCAAUGAAGCUGAGACCAUUAGGUUACGAGCCUAAAAAAUACGUGACAUGCUAUAAUCGCUGUAACGUAAAUGGUUUCAAAUUAUAGAAAUUAUAAAAGCAUAAUAAAUAGUGGUGUGUGCAUAAAAGAUAG